CCCCGGGAGGCAGCAGUGGGGAAUAUUGGACAAUGGGCGAAAGCCUGAUCCAGCAAUGCCGCGUGAGUGAUGAAGGCCUUAGGGUUGUAAAGCUCUUUUACCAGGGAUGAUAAUGACAGUACCUGGAGAAUAAGCUCCGGCUAACUCCGUGCCAGCAGCCGCGGUAAUACGGAGGGAGCUAGCGUUGUUCGGAAUUACUGGGCGUAAAGAGUACGUAGGCGGUUAUUCAAGUCAGAGGUGAAAGCCCGGGGCUCAACCCCGGAACUGCCUUUGAAACUAGAUAGCUAGAGUCUUGGAGAGGUUAGUGGAAUUCCGAGUGUAGAGGUGAAAUUCGUAGAUAUUCGGAAGAACACCAGUGGCGAAGGCGACUAACUGGACAAGUACUGACGCUGAGGUACGAAAGCGUGGGGAGCAAACAGGAUUAGAUACCCUGGUAGUCCACGCCGUAAACGAUGAUAACUAGUUGUUCGGGCACUUGGUGCCUGAGUGACGCAGCUAACGCAUUAAGUUAUCCGCCUGGGGAGUACGGUCGCAAGAUUAAAACUCAAAUGAAAUUGAACCGG
rnacentral:rRNA from 1 species